ACACACACAAAACACACAACAUAACGCAAGAACUCACCUUCCAUGUAUUCUACAUCAAGUGAAGGUGAAACUAAAAUACAAAUGAUCUCAUCUGAAGGGUUUGUAUGAGAUGUUCAGCAAAGUAAAAAUAUCAGAUCAGGGAUUAUAGUUGCUUGUUAAAUCCUGACAGACAGAGAGACUUUAACACAAAGUCUGUCUGUCUGUCUGUCUGUCUGUCUGUCUGUCUGUCUGUCUGUCUGUCUGUCUGUCUGUCUGUCAUGAGUUUUUACCCUCAUCAUUCCUGGUCAUGAUAAAUGACAGUAAUCCUUCUGCCUACACAUGAAAACACAACUGCAACCCAGAAGAGCUUCAUGAAGAGCCCGACUUUCUAAUUGUCUCGGCUCGUCCUGUCUUGUAUCAGAGCUACAUUUACGUACCUAAAGAAACGGGUAUGGAAUGAAUUCUGUACACAGUGGUGGACGGGACGCCCGUGGGGCUUGUGCUUAUUAGAGACGAGUGUUAUGUAGGCAGAGAUAAGCUCCUUUAAUCCGAGCUCGAAAGAGAACGUGCCAGACGAGAUCAGAGGUUUACGGCUCAUCGUCACAUGUAGUUCGUUUUUCGCCUUCUAUAAGGAUGUUACGAGACAUGCAAGGAGGAAAAAAAUACUGCAUCUGGCAGACAUUUAGGCAAUGCAAGGUCAAAGCAAGAAGAACGCAGAUGAGCACUUUCUCCCCCGUGUCAGGAUCCACGUCUGUCUGGAACGUGAGCAGCGGCUGAGACUGAUUCUCCGACAGCCAGAGUGCCUUGAGCCUCAGUGUGGUUAGAGACAUGGGGAGAUACGUCAGCCUGCAAGGAACACAAACCACAACAUGCAGACCAUGAGCCGAGACUUCAUACCAGAAACGCAAGCGAGCACCAGAACGUGUGUUUACGCUUCUAAAAGAAAAAUAAAACAUUUAUCCGCAAAACA